AGAAAAGCAUGUUUCUAUUUAAGUGCCUGCUGUCCUUUAUCAAGAAGCUCUCCUUUAUUUGGAUUAUGGAAACACAUACAUUUUCAAGCUUUAAUUCC